CCUACGGGAGGCAGCAGUGAGGAAUAUUGGUCAAUGGGCGCGAGCCUUAACCAGCCAAGUCGCGUGAGGGAUGACUGCCCUACGGGUUGUAAACUUCUUUUAUAAAGGAAUAAAGUGAGGCACGUGUGCCUUUUUGUAUGUACUUUAUGAAUAAGGAUAGGCUAACUCCGUGCCAGCAGCCGCGGUAAUACGGAGGAUCCGAGCGUUAUGCGGAUUUAUUGGGUUUAAAGGGAGCGUAGAUGGGGUGUUAAGUCAGUUGUGAAAGUUUGCGGCUCAACCGAAAAAUUGCAAUUGAAACUGGCAGUCUUGAGUACAGUAGAGGUAGGCGGAAUUCGUGGUGUAGCGGUGAAAUGCUUAGAUAUCACGAAGAACUCCGAUUGCGAAGGCAGCUUACUAAACUGCCACUGACAUUGAUGCUCGAAAGUGUGGGUAGCAAACAGGAUUAGAUACCCGAGUAGUC
rnacentral:rRNA from 1 species